rnacentral:lncRNA from 1 species
UUUAAGAAUGUUGAAUAUUGGCCCCCACUCUCUUCUGGCUUGUAGAGUUUCUGCCGAGAGAUCCGCUGUUAGUCUGAUGGGCUUCCCUUUGUGGGUAACCCGACCUUUCUCUCUGGCUGCCCUUAACAUUUUUUCCUUCAUUUCAACGUUGGUGAAUCUGACAAUUAUGUGUCUUGGAGUUGCUCUUCUCGAUGAGUAUCUUUGUGGCAUUCUCUGUAUUUCCUCAAUCUGAAUGUUGGCCUUCCUUGCUAGAUUGGGGAAGUUCUCCUGGAUAAUAUCCUGCAGAGUGUUUUCCAACUUGCUUCCAUUCUCCCCGUCACUUUCAGAUACACCAAUCAGACGUAGAUUUGGUCUUUUCACAUAGUCCCAUAUUUCUUGGAGGCUUUGUUCGUUUCUUUUUAUUCUUGUUUUCUCUAAACUUCCCUUCUCGCUUCAUUUCAUUCAUUUCAUCUUCCGUUAUUGAUACCUUUUCUUCCAGUUGAUCGCAUCGGCUCAUGAGGCUUCUGCAUUCUUCACGUAGUUCUCGAGCCUUGGCUUUCAGCUCCAUCAGCUCCUUUAAG